rnacentral:rRNA from 1 species
ACGAACGCUGGCGGCGUGCCUAACACAUGCAAGUCGAGCGGAGACAGUGAGUAGCUUGCUAUGAGCUGUUUUAGCGGCGGACGGGUGAGUAACGCGUGAGCAACCUUUCCCAGACAGGGGAAUAACACACCGAAAGGUGUACUAAUACCGCAUAAGACCACGGAAUCACAUGGUUCUGAGGUAAAAGAUUUAUCGGUUUGGGGUGGGCUCGCGUCCGAUUAGGUAGUUGGUGAGGUAACGGCCCACCAAGCCGACGAUCGGUAGCCGACCUGAGAGGGUGAUCGGCCACAUUGGGACUGAGACACAGCCCAAACUCCUACGGGAGGCAGCAGUGGGGAAUAUUGGGCAAUGGAGGAAACUCUGACCCAGCAACGCCGCGUGGAGGAAGAAGGUUUUCGGAUCGUAAACUCCUGUCCUUGGAGACGAGUAGAAGACGGUAUCCAAGGAGGAAGCCCCGGCUAACUACGUGCCAGCAGCCGCGGUAAUACGUAGGGGGCAAGCGUUGUCCGGAAUAAUUGGGCGUAAAGGGCGCGUAGGCGGCUCGGUAAGUCUGGAGUGAAAGUCCUGCUUUUAAGGUGGGAAUUGCUUUGGAUACUGUCGGGCUUGAGUGCAGGAGAGGUUAGUGGAAUUCCCAGUGUAGCGGUGAAAUGCGUAGAGAUUGGGAGGAACACCAGUGGCGAAGGCGACUAACUGGACUGUAACUGACGCUGAGGCGCGAAAGUGUGGGGAGCAAACAGGAUUAGAUACCCUGGUAGUCCACACUGUAAACGAUGAAUGCUAGGUGUAGGGGGUAUCGACCCCUUCUGUGCCGCAGUCAACACAAUAAGCAUUCCGCCUGGGGAGUACGGCCGCAAGGUUGAAACUCAAAGGAAUUGACGGGGGCCCGCACAAGCAGCGGAGCAUGUGGUUUAAUUCGACGCAACGCGAAGAACCUUACCAGGUCUUGACAUCCACUUAAACUUACAGAGAUGUAAGGUGUGCUUGCACAAAGUGAGACAGGUGGUGCAUGGUUGUCGUCAGCUCGUGUCGUGAGAUGUUGGGUUAAGUCCCGCAACGAGCGCAACCCUUAUUGCCAGUUACUACGUUAAGAGGACUCUGGCGAGACUGCCGUUGACAAAACGGAGGAAGGUGGGGAUGACGUCAAAUCAUCAUGCCCUUUAUGACCUGGGCUACACACGUACUACAAUGGCGUUUAACAAAGAGAAGCAAGACCGCGAGGUGGAGCAAAACUCAAAAACAACGUCUCAGUUCAGAUUGCAGGCUGCAACUCGCCUGCAUGAAGUCGGAAUUGCUAGUAAUCGCGGAUCAGCAUGCCGCGGUGAAUACGUUCCCGGGCCUUGUACACACCGCCCGUCACACCAUGGGAGUUGGGAGUGCCCAAAGCCGGUGAGGCAACCGCAAGGAGCCAGCCGUCUAAGGCAAGACCAAUGACUGGGGUG